GGGUUGUGAGGUUAAGCGACUAAGCGUACACGGUGGAUGCCCUGGCAGUCAGAGGCGAUGAAGGGCGUGCUAAUCUGCGAUAAGCGCCGGUAAGGUGAUAUGAACCGUUAUAACCGGCGAUACCCGAAUGGGGAAACCCAGUGUGACUCGUCACACUAUCAUUAACUGAAUCCAUAGGUUAAUGAGGCGAACCGGGGGAACUGAAACAUCUAAGUACCCCGAGGAAAAGAAAUCAACCGAGAUUCCCCCAGUAGCGGCGAGCGAACGGGGAGGAGCCCAGAGCCUGAAUCAGCAUGUGUGUUAGUGGAAGCGUCUGGAAAGGCGCGCGAUACAGGGUGACAGCCCCGUACACAAAAGCGCAUGUGCUGUGAGCUCGAUGAGUAGGGCGGGACACGUGGUAUCCUGUCUGAAUAUGGGGGGACCAUCCUCCAAGGCUAAAUACUCCUGACUGACCGAUAGUGAACCAGUACCGUGAGGGAAAGGCGAAAAGAACCCCGGCGAGGGGAGUGAAAAAGAACCUGAAACCGUGUACGUACAAGCAGUGGGAGCUGAAAAAUUAGCGGAUGACCUGUGGCUGGGGGUGAAAGGCCAAUCAAACCGGGAGAUAGCUGGUUCUCCCCGAAAGCUAUUUAGGUAGCGCCUCGUGAA
rnacentral:rRNA from 1 species